GAAAGAUUCAUCGGAAGAGGAUGGGCAUGCGGCGCAUUAGCUAGACGGCGGGGUAACGGCCCACCGUGGCGACGAUGCGUAGGGGUUCUGAGAGGAAGGUCCCCCACACUGGUACUGAGACACGGACCAGACUCCUACGGGAGGCAGCAGUGAGGAAUAUUGGUCAAUGGGAGAGAUCCUGAACCAGCCAAGCCGCGUGAGGGAAGACGGCCCUAUGGGUUGUAAACCUCUUUUGUCGGAGAACAAAACCCGGGACGAGUCCCGGACUGCGUGUAUCCGAAGAAAAAGCAUCGGCUAACUCCGUGCCAGCAGCCGCGGUAAUACGGAGGAUGCGAGCGUUAUCCGGAUUUAUUGGGUUUAAAGGGUGCGUAGGCGGUCCGUUAAGUCAGCGGUAAAAUUGCGGGGCUCAACCCCGUCGAGCCGUUGAAACUGGCAGACUUGAGUUGGCGAGAAGUACGCGGAAUGCGCGGUGUAGCGGUGAAAUGCAUAGAUAUCGCGCAGAACUCCGAUUGCGAAGGCAGCGUACCGGCGCCACACUGACGCUGAGGCACGAAAGCGUGGGGAUCGAACAGGAUUAGAUACCCUGGUAGUCCACGCAGUAAACGAUGAAUGCUGGUUGUCCGGGUCGAAUGAGAUCUGGGCGG
rnacentral:rRNA from 1 species